rnacentral:rRNA from 1 species
UUUUGGACAAUGGGCGCAAGCCUGAUCCAGCAAUGCCGCGUGAGUGAAGAAGGCCUUCGGGUUGUAAAGCUCUUUUGUCAGGGAAGAAACGGUGAGCUCUAAUACAGUUUGCUAAUGACGGUACCUGAAGAAUAAGCACCGGCUAACUACGUGCCAGCAGCCGCGGUAAUACGUAGGGUGCAAGCGUUAAUCGGAAUUACUGGGCGUAAAGCGUGCGCAGGCGGUUAUGUAAGUCAGAUGUGAAAUCCCCGGGCUCAACCUGGGAAUGGCAUUUGAGACUGCAUGGCUAGAGUGUGUCAGAGGGGGGUAGAAUUCCACGUGUAGCAGUGAAAUGCGUAGAGAUGUGGAGGAAUACCGAUGGCGAAGGCAGCCCCCUGAGAUAACACUGACGCUCAUGCACGAAA